AGAGUUUGAUCCUGGCUCAGGACGAACGCUGGCGGCGCGCCUAACACAUGCAAGUCGAACGAGCGAGAGAGAGCUUGCUUUCUCGAGCGAGUGGCGAACGGGUGAGUAACGCGUGAGGAACCUGCCUCAAAGAGGGGGACAACAGUUGGAAACGACUGCUAAUACCGCAUAAGCCCACGGCUCGGCAUCGAGCAGAGGGAAAAGGAGCAAUCCGCUUUGAGAUGGCCUCGCGUCCGAUUAGCUAGUUGGUGAGGUAAUGGCCCACCAAGGCGACGAUCGGUAGCCGGACUGAGAGGUUGAACGGCCACAUUGGGACUGAGACACGGCCCAGACUCCUACGGGAGGCAGCAGUGGGGAAUAUUGCACAAUGGGGGAAACCCUGAUGCAGCGACGCCGCGUGGAGGAAGAAGGUCUUCGGAUUGUAAACUCCUGUUGUUGAGGAAGAUAAUGACGGUACUCAACAAGGAAGUGACGGCUAACUACGUGCCAGCAGCCGCGGUAAAACGUAGGUCACAAGCGUUGUCCGGAAUUACUGGGUGUAAAGGGAGCGCAGGCGGGAAGACAAGUUGGAAGUGAAAUCCAUGGGCUCAACCCAUGAACUGCUUUCAAAACUGUUUUUCUUGAGUAGUGCAGAGGUAGGCGGAAUUCCCGGUGUAGCGGUGGAAUGCGUAGAUAUCGGGAGGAACACCAGUGGCGAAGGCGGCCUACUGGGCACCAACUGACGCUGAGGCUCGAAAGUGUGGGUAGCAAACAGGAUUAGAUACCCUGGUAGUCCACACCGUAAACGAUGAUUACUAGGUGUUGGAGGAUUGACCCCUUCAGUGCCGCAGUUAACACAAUAAGUAAUCCACCUGGGGAGUACGACCGCAAGGUUGAAACUCAAAGGAAUUGACGGGGGCCCGCACAAGCAGUGGAGUAUGUGGUUUAAUUCGACGCAACGCGAAGAACCUUACCAAGUCUUGACAU
rnacentral:rRNA from 1 species